rnacentral:rRNA from 1 species
GACGAACGCUGGCGGCGUGCAUAACACAUGCAAGUCGAACGGAAAGGCCUGCUUUCCCUUGUGGAUUGCGGGUGCUCGAGUGGCGAACGGGUGAGUAACACGUGAGUGAUCUGCCCCCAACUUGGGUAUAAGCCUGGGAAACUGGGUCUAAUUCCCGAUAGGACUGCAGGGUGGUGCCUGUGGUGGAAAACGAUUUUCUAGUGGUUGGGGAUGAGCUCGCGGCCUAUCAGCUUGUUGGUGGGGUAAUGGCCUACCAAGGCGGCGACGGGUAGCCGGCCUGAGAGGGUGGACGGCCACAUUGGGACUGAGAUACGGCCCAGACUCCUACGGGAGGCAGCAGUGGGGAAUAUUGCACAAUGGGCGGAAGCCUGAUGCAGCGACGCCGCGUGGGGGAUGACGGCCUUCGGGUUGUAAACUCCUUUCGACCGCGAGGAAGCCACCUGGUUGGAAGGGUGGUGACGGUAGUGGUAGAAGAAGCACCGGCUAACUACGUG